rnacentral:rRNA from 1 species
GACGAACGCUGGCGGCGUGCCUAAUACAUGCAAGUAGAACGCUGAAGAGAGGAGCUUGCUCUUCUUGGAUGAGUUGCGAACGGGUGAGUAACGCGUAGGUAACCUGCCUGGUAGCGGGGGAUAACUAUUGGAAACGAUAGCUAAUACCGCAUAAAAUUGAUUAUUGCAUGAUAAUUAAUUGAAAGAUGCAAUUGCAUCACUACCAGAUGGACCUGCGUUGUAUUAGCUAGUUGGUGAGGUAACGGCUCACCAAGGCGACGAUACAUAGCCGACCUGAGAGGGUGAUCGGCCACACUGGGACUGAGACACGGCCCAGACUCCUACGGGAGGCAGCAGUAGGGAAUCUUCGGCAAUGGGGGGAACCCUGACCGAGCAACGCCGCGUGAGUGAAGAAGGUUUUCGGAUCGUAAAGCUCUGUUGUAAGAGAAGAACGGGUGUGAGAGUGGAAAGUUCACACUGUGACGGUAUCUUACCAGAAAGGGACGGCUAACUACGUGCCAGCAGCCGCGGUAAUACGUAGGUCCCGAGCGUUGUCCGGAUUUAUUGGGCGUAAAGCGAGCGCAGGCGGUUAGAUAAGUCUGAAGUUAAGGCUGUGGCUUAAUCAUAGUAUGCUUUGGAAACUGUUUAACUUGAGUGCAGAAGGGGAGAGUGGAAUUCCAUGUGUAGCGGUGAAAUGCGUAGAUAUAUGGAGGAACACCGGUGGCGAAAGCGGCUCUCUGGUCUGUAACUGACGCUGAGGCUCGAAAGCGUGGGGAGCAAACAGGAUUAGAUACCCUGGUAGUCCACGCCGUAAACGAUGAGUGCUAGGUGUUAGGCCCUUUCCGGGGCUUAGUGCCGCAGCUAACGCAUUAAGCACUCCGCCUGGGGAGUACGACCGCAAGGUUGAAACUCAAAGGAAUUGACGGGGGCCCGCACAAGCGGUGGAGCAUAUGGUUUAAUUCGAAGCAACGCGAAGAACCUUACCAGGUCUUGACAUCCCUCUGAUCGCCCUAGAGAUAGAGUUUUCCUUCGGGACAGAGGUGACAGGUGGUGCAUGGUUGUCGUCAGCUCGUGUCGUGAGAUGUUGGGUUAAGUCCCGCAACGAGCGCAACCCCUAUUGUUAGUUGCCAUCAUUCAGUUGGGCACUCUAGCGAGACUGCCGGUAAUAAACCGGAGGAAGGUGGGGAUGACGUCAAAUCAUCAUGCCCCUUAUGACCUGGGCUACACACGUGCUACAAUGGCUGGUACAACGAGUCGCAAGCCGGUGACGGCAAGCUAAUCUCUGAAAGCCAGUCUCAGUUCGGAUUGUAGGCUGCAACUCGCCUACAUGAAGUCGGAAUCGCUAGUAAUCGCGGAUCAGCACGCCGCGGUGAAUACGUUCCCGGGCCU